UACGUAGGGUGCAAGCGUUGUCCGGAAUUAUUGGGCGUAAAGAGCUCGUAGGCGGCUUGUCGCGUCGGCUGUGAAAACCUGGGGCUCAACCCCGGGCCUGCAGCCGAUACGGGCAAGCUAGAAUUCGGUAGGGGAGACUGGAAUUCCUGGUGUAGCGGUGAAAUGCGCAGAUAUCAGGAGGAACACCGGUGGCGAAGGCGGGUCUCUGGGCCGAUAUUGACGCUGAGAAGCGAAAGCGUGGGGAGCAAACAGG
rnacentral:rRNA from 1 species